AAAAGCUCGUAGUUGGAUUUCUGGUGGGCGCAUCCGGUCCGCUCCGCAAGGAGUGUGCACUGGUGAUGUCGCCGGCCACUUUUACAGCGAACGAUUCUGGCAUUAAGUUGUCGGGGUCGGGAGCUGUAUCAUUUACUGUGAAAAAAUUAGAGUGUUUAAAGCAGGCAUUUGCUGUGAAUACAUUAGCAUGGAAUAAUAAGAUAGGACUUUGGUGCUAUUUUGUUGGUUUGCACGCCAAGGUAAUGAUUAACAGGGACAGUUGGGGGUAUUCGUAUUUUGAUGUCAGAGGUGAAAUUCUUGGAUUUUCGAAAGACGAACUUCUGCGAAAGCAUUUACCAAGGAUGUUUUCAUUAAUCAAGAACGAAAGUUAGGGGAUCGAAGAUGAUUAGAUACCAUCGUAGUCUUAACCAUAAACUAUGCCGACUAGGGAUUGGCGGAAGUUAAUCAAUGACUCCGUCAGCACCUUACGAGAAAUCAAAGUCUUUGGGUCCGGGGGGAGUAUGGUCGCAAGGCUGAAACUUAAAGGAAUUGACGGAAGGGCACCACCCGG
rnacentral:rRNA from 1 species